AGUGAACGCUGGCGGCGUGCCUAAUACAUGCAAGUCGAACGGAGUGGCGCACGGGUGAGUAAUGUAUAGCUAAUCUGCCCUACACUAGAGGACAACAGAUGGUAACGACUGAUAAUACUCUAUAGUGUAGGAGGAGGCUAUAUUGUAUCAGCUAGUUGGUGAGGUAAUGGCUCACGAAGGCUAGGACGCAUAACUGGUCAGAGAGGAUGAUCAGUCACUCUUGAGCGGGGACACAGUGGGGAAUCCUCCGGAAUGGAGCAAAAGGUGAUAGUGCACAGUGGGGGGAACGCUGACGCAGCUCCGGCUGGUGGAGGAUGUCACUUGUCGGUGAGUACAUUCCUGUUAUUAGGUAAGCGGUACCUAACGAAUAAGCCCCGGCUAACUCCGUGCCAGCAGCCGCGGUAAUUC
rnacentral:rRNA from 1 species